UGCUCUCACUCGACAUAGGACCAACCUCACCAAAUGAGACACCAUCACAACGAUUGCAGCAGUGGAAGGAACAAAGAUGUCGCCUAAUGAAAGGGAUGUGUUUCCACAUACCUCUCACUCCCAACAUAUUUGCACCGAUCUCCUAAUUUCUCAAAGUCUUACAAUCCUUUUGUGCCUAUUUGGGUGUUCCUACCCAGAUAAUAUCACCAAGAAAGUGGAAAGACUAACAAUAGGUAACAAAGGAACAACAUGGAAACAAAGGUGAUGUCGCAUUUUAAAGGCCAGGGAUGUCCUUAUACAAGCUAAGGUGGUUGGUGCAUUUUGUCAUCUUCAAAGAAACCCUCAAAGCUUCAGUAUAUGUCAGUAUUAUAGUGCCUGGACCAUUUGUGUCAACAUUAAUUUCUCAUCCGACAGGAACCAUCAGUCUGUGAAGUGCUCCGGAUGUCUAUUUUCUCGCAAAUCCGAGUCAGCCGUCGGAAGCUAUACCCUGUUGGCUUUUGAACGUGCGUAUGCAGCUGUAGAGGUGUGCCUACGCGAUUCUUGCUUCGGCCGGCUACUUGACGGAACUUGCGUAACUAGCGACACGAAUAAAACUGAUCGAUAGAUUUGAUGGCUAAAGGCCCGUGUCGAGCCUUUGCUUUGUAUUGCUUUUCUUUUUUCUGGUGUUACAAUCAACACCCCUAGGGUGUCUUUUAUACACGUCCACAAGGGACUAUGGAAAUAUACUAGGACUAGGAAUCCUAAUACUACUGGGACUCGGUUUGGCUUUCUUUCAUAAUCCUACAUGAGCAACAUGAUUAACAUCUACAUUCACCUCCUUAAUCUUGUUGCUUGACUUUACUUCUUGCACUCUGACUUUCCUCCUCAUCUCGAUGAACUUCUGUCGACCGAGGGACUUGGUGAAAAUAUCGGCAAGUUGGUCUUUCGUGUUCACAUGUUGAACCUCGAUCAACCCUUCUUCAAUGCACUCCCGGAUAUGGUGGAACCGGGUAUCUAUGUGCUUGCUCCUUUCGUGAUGAACCGGAUUUUUGCACAACGAGAUUGCAGCUUGGUUAUCGAUCUUCAGUGACACCUUCUGCACCUCCCGCUUUGCAAGAAUAGCUAGGAAUCUUCUCAGCCACACUGCUUGACAAGCCGCCGUGCUUGCCGCUAUGUAUUCUGCCUCGCAUGAAGACAGUGCCACCACCUUUUGCUUCUGAGAAUUCCAGCUAAUCGGAUUCGGGCCAAGGUAGAAAACCAUGCCCGUUGUGCUCUUUCGGUCAUCAACAUCACCUGCCAUGUCGCUAUCUGAAUAUCCACGAAGGAUCAAUCCUUCCUUUCCCCUUCUGUACGUGCAACCAAGAUUAAUGGUGCCUUUCACAUAGCGCAAGAUUUGAUUGACCGCGCUCAUGUGCUCGGUUGUCGGAUUCUCCAUGAAACGACUCACGAUCCCGACUGAAUAAGCCAAGUCAGGUCGGGUAUGCACCAAAUAUCUUAGGCUGCCCACAACGCUUCGAUACAUUGUGGUGUCCACCGGCGGAUUUGAGCUACGCUUGCUCAACUUGUGACGUUGGUCCAUUGGAACUUGUGUCGCGUAGCAAUCUGACAUGCCACACUUGUCCAAUAACUUGACCGCGUAAGCCGAUUGACAUAGGGAAAUCUCUCCGGAGCUUUGCUUCACUUCGAUGCCCAAUUAAUAGCUGAGUAAUCCCAGAUCACUCAUGCUAAACUUGUUCUUCAUUUGCGCCUUGAAACGUUCAAUUUCUUGUACGCUAUCUCCGGUGAUAAUCAGAUCGUUGACAUAAACUCCAACUAGCAGGUUUGAGCCUUUGGAGUUCUUUGUAUAGACUGCGUGCUCGAGGGGACAUCUCUUGAACCCGAGCGAGACCAGACUUCGGUCUAACUUUGAGUUCCAAGCUCUUGGCGCUUGCUUUAACCCGUAAAGUGCCUUCUUGAGCUUGUAAACUUUCCCUUCUUCGCCUUUCUUCUCGUAGCCGAGGGGUUGUUCCACGUACACUUCUUCUGUGAGAUCGCCAUUGAGGAAAGCGGAUUUAACAUCCAUAUGAUGAACCUUCCAAUCCUCUUGUGCUGCCAAAGCUAGGAGCACUCUCACCGUCUCGAUUCGAGCAACCGGUGCAAACACCUCAUCAUAGUCAACUCCUUGACGUUGAACGUAGCCCUUUGCAACGAGUCUUGCCUUGUACUUCACAAUGGCACCCUCCGUGUCCUUCUUUAACUUGUAAACCCACUUCAAACCUAUCGUCUUUUGGUUUGGAGGUCGGGUUACCAAAGUCCACGUGCCAUUGCUCUCAAUUGCCUUCAUCUCCUCAUCCAUGGCGUGCGUCCAGCUAGGACUUUUUCUCGCCUCUACGAAGUUCGCCGGCUCCUCAACUCCGAACAGACAUAGUCCGGAGUACUCGAGCGUAACUGGCUUUGUGUACUUGUAGACUUUCUUGAGGGUCUUGUAGCAACGAGGCCCUGAGGAGUCCGUUGUGGCUUGCGAAGGAGGCGACACAAAUUGUGUCGAUGUUGAUGCACUUGAGGAAGACGGCUGAGACCUUGGUGUGUCAUCGACAUCCGUGUCGUCGGCGUAGUCGUCGUGACCGUGACCAUCAUCUUGAUUGUCAUCGUCACUAUGCGCCUCGUUGUCGAUGUUGUCGUCGAGAUCUCCGCCUGUGUCGUGCGCGGCGUUGUCGCUAUCUCCUUGCGACCUAUGCGCGUCGUCGUCGGUGUCGGCACCAUGAUGAUCACUACCAUUGUGGUCACCUUGGUUGGGUGUCUUGCCAAUCACCUGGACAUCCUCCCUUGCAUCAUCAUCAGUUGGAAAUUCAACUGCAAAUAUGUUACUGUUUGGAGCAUCGUCGGCUGCGGCGCUCCAAUUCCACGCUUGGUUUUCUUCAAACACGACGUCGCGUGAAAUCCGUAGACGCUUGGUUUGUGGAUUGUAGAAACGGUAUGCCUUGGUGCCAGAACUGCUCUCGUAUCCGAUGAACACCAUCUUGGUGCUACGAUCGGCAAGCUUUGAGAGAUGUGGCUCCGCCGUCUUCACAUGUGCCACGCACCGAACGUCCGUAGAUGACACACAUUCGGCUUACGUCCGUAAAUUGCUUCAUACGGAGUCUUGCCGAUCACCGCCUUUGUUGGAGCCCGGUUGAGAAGAUAGACCGCCGUCGAGACAGCUUCUCCCCAAAAAAUACCCGGCAGGUUCUUGCUCUUGAGUAAACUCCUUGCCAUGUCAACGACGGUUCGAUUGCGCCUUUCAACGACCCCAUUCUGCUGCGGCGUGUAAGGUGCCGUGAGGAACCUCUUUAUGCCAAUCUUCUCGCAGUAGUCGUUGAACUCAUUCGACGUAAACUCUCCGCCGCGAUCUGUCCGUAGAGCGCGAACCUUCAGCUUGUGUUCCAUCUCCGUUGCAGCCUUCAGCUUCUUGAAUGCUUCAAACGCCUCAUCUUUAGACCGUAGGAGAACGACCCACAUAUAUCUCGAGUAGUCGUCUACCACAAGGAAGAAAUACUUCUUUCCAGCGUGAGUUGCCGGGGUGAUAGGGCCACAUAGAUCACCAUGGAGCAGCUCGAGUGCAUCACUUGCACGAUAGGUAGACUGAGCAGGGAAUGGCCUGCGGUGCUGUUUUCCAACCAAGCACCCGUCACAUACUCGAUCAACAUGGUCGAUAACUGGCAUCCCGGAUACCAUCUCCAUCUUUGACAUCUUCUUCAAGGCGUAGAAGUUAACGUGUCCAAAUCUAGCAUGCCAUAACCACGAAUCAUCAUCACUCUUGGAGAGCCAACACUCCGGUUGAGAUUGAUCAAGGUUGAGGAUAUAGAGCCUAUUCCGUGUGCGAUUAACACGAGCUAGCACGUUUCGGAGGUUGUCGAAGAUCGUCAUCACUCCGCUCUCUAUAUUCACCUUGCAUCCCUUCUCGUCAAGCUUCCCAAUAGAGAUGAUGUUGUUGCGCAGCCGUGGGAUGUAGUACACUCUGGUGAGUAUGCGAUGUUCGCCUGUGAGACCCUCAAAGAGGACAGAUCCUUGCCCGCAAAUCUCCACAGCUGAACCAUCACCGAACUUGACCGAGCCUUCAACAUCGUAUUCCAGCUCGAGGAAUUUCUCCUUGCACCCCGUCAUGUGGUUACUGGCACCUGUGUCGAGAUACCACGACACGUUCUGAUCACCGGAUAACUUUGGUGUCACUUUUUCCUCAUGAAGUAGCACCUUCCGGCUUGGUUUCACAACCACCGUUUCAGCGAGAUCACAAACUUCGGCCAUCAGAAGACCUGGACCUUCGUCUUCCUGCUUUGCCAAAUUUGCCUUGAUCUCCCGCUUGUUAGGCUUUGGACAAUCCUUCACAAAGUGACCCAUCUUAUUGCAGUUAUAGCACUUGACCUCGGACAAGUCCAAGUUCCGUGGUUUCUGCUCUUUAGAUUGGCCCGCCUUACCACGACCUUGUGGUUUGCCUUUUCCUUUGCCUUUUCCAUUUUGUCCAUCGCCCUUCGUGUUGCUUGAGCCUUCGCCACCGUCACGCCUUCCUUUGCUACUUGGGGCCUCCCAAUCUGCGUGCGAGUACAUGAGUUGGUCACUACCUCCUCCUUUGCCUUUUCGACAGCCACGAGCAUUCUCUUCCCACGUCCGCAGGCGUCCGAUCGCCUCCGUUAUGGUCAUGUCGUCGAUGUCGUAAAGCUGCUCGAGCGUGCCAAUGAUGUACGUGAAUUUAUCAGUCACUGAACUGAAAGACUUCUCCACGAUCUCGGUCUCCUCGAGCUUUGAACCAAGCGCGCGGAUCUCUCCCACCAGAGUAGUAAGACGCAUGGCAUAGUUGUUCACCGAUUCAGUUUUGUCCAUCUGCAACUUGUGAAAUUGGCGCUUCAGCACUUGUGCCCUUGCCUUGGUGACGCGAUCUUCUCCGAUCCUCAUCUCCUUGAGUGCGUUCCACGCCUCUCUUGCCGUCUCGAACUCCGCCAAUGUCAUCAGCACGGAAUCCGGCACAGACUGGGCUAUGGCGGCCAUGGCACCUUCGUCAGACUCGUCAUCGACGUCGUCGUCCGUGAUUGCCUGCCACACUCGAAGGGUUCGGAGAAUAAUCUUCAUCUUCACCGCCCACACGCCGUAGUUGGCGUCGGUGAGCAUCGGGUACUGGAUGGGGAUGUUGCGAUGCGCCUGGACGUUAGCGUCGCUCGUUCCUCCACCACUGGUUGCUGACUUGACGCCCUUCUUCACCUUGUCGCCGUUCUUGUUCGCCUUGGCACCGCCGCUGCCGGACUUGACCGACUCAGCGUCGCUGUCCGUCAUCGUAGAUCGUAGAUCGUCGAGGCUCUGAUACCAAUUGUUGGCUUUUGAACGUGCGUAUGCAGCUGUAGAGGUGUGCCUACGCGAUUCUUGCUUCGGCCGGCUACUUGACGGAACUUGCGUAACUAGCGACACGAAUAAAACUGAUCGAUAGAUUUGAUGGCUAAAGGCCCGUGUCGAGCCUUUGCUUUGUAUUGCUUUUCUUUUUUCUGGUGUUACAAUCAACACCCCUAGGGUGUCUUUUAUACACGUCCACAAGGGACUAUGGAAAUAGACUAGGACUAGGAAUCCUAAUACUACUAGGACUCGGUUUGGCUUUCUUUCCUAAUCCUACAUGAGCAACAUGAUUAACAUCUACAUACCCGUGUGUGAACAUCCACUUGACCAACAAAAAACCACCAUUUGGUCCUUCUUUUUUCUUUCUCCGCACAUGCAUAAUCCUGUCUUCUCCCUCCUCCCAACCGGACAAAUAAAGAUUAACUAAUUUGUGAAAAGCAAUGGAUGACUCUCUCCCACAUCAUAUCUGCAUAGACAUUUGUUUUAUACAUUGUUCAAAUAAAUCCGAGGUACGUCGUCGAUCAUUCGAGGAUCAAGCAAUGGCACGAGCACAACACCGAUAUUUGUUAAUGAGGCUCACCGCUAUGGCUACAUAUCCGGGGUAUGACUACGAGCGCUCCUCCCCGUGACACCAUCAUAAUACCGCACCCUGGCCGUCUUGGACACUGGCACACGUCGCCGGCUCCCCCUGCACGCUUGUGCUAUUAUGUCGGCAUAGGUUACAUCGUGUGUCUACGCCUGCUAUAUAUGAGAGGACUAGGAUACAGUUGUCCUGCUUGGACACGACUCCAUAUCCUAUCUAAACACAAUACAACUAUAAAUCCAAUUGUAACCUACCUUGUACAUAAUAUUCGACACAACCCUAACAAACUCUAGCUUGACGAAUAUUCUCCACCACCUUGAAUUCGUUCAUGCGUCAAACUUUCAUGUAUAUUGGACUUGAGUUUAUCCAUGAGAACCACUCUUACUCCAAAGACUCCAUGUGGCUCCACGUGCAACUUGUAGUCCCUUUUUUUCUUGACCACGGUCAACGCUUGAGCACAAUUAAGUUCCAUUUUACUCUAAUUUGCGCUCCCAACUUCUAGAGUAUCCAACAUCAUCACACACCCAUCACUGCCUAUGUGAAAGUGAAUAACUCACAUAUCUGAUGUCAGACAUAAGAGUUACCUAAACUCAACAUCACCGCUCUUCCUUAACCGUCUCUCUGAAACUUAAAGGAAUUUCACCAUUCCUUGUAGUCAUCCUGAAUCAAAUUCGCAGUUGUCUCACCAGAUGUAUGACCACCAGAGCCGUGGCCCGACUCCAUGUCCCGUGCAUACCGCACGCCUCUCCGCUAUUACCACGUCGAUCUUCCGCUGUCCCGAUCAAGUCUUAAGGGUCGCGAAUCCACACCACUCAACCCCCACUGCAGAGUACCAUCGAUUAUCCCGACCGAUGACGGGUUUCACGUUUCCAUCAGACUACUGGGCUCCAGUCCGAACCACGCAUCACUCACUCUUUCCCGAGUGAAGUCCUCGAGACUCCAGCUCCACCUUCAACAUGACUCCAUGGUAGAUGAUCAUUCCACCCCUGCGCCCCGUCGAUUUCAAGCUCCGUGUGUACACCACCUUGAAUCAACUACGCGUCAUAGUCUUGUCGAAGCCACACAAGCCACCAGGCCUGCACCACGUGUUUCCACACGUCACUACAAGAAAUAAGGUCAAUUAUGACUCCCUAUAUUGGUCAUUGAUUCGUCAUUGUUGUCGUUUAUUGACAUUUUUUUGACCAAAUUUACAACGUCAACAGUUGGCCGUCAAGAAUGAACAAACAUGACAUUUCUAAAAUUUUGGUCGUAGAUCUCUAUCGACCAAAAUUUUGGUUUGGUCAUUACCCAUUUAUGUGAGCCACGUAGGAUCUGACGUGGCAAGCUGACGUGGCAUUGUUAGUGACCAAAUGGAAUCAUCAUGAAUUUCAGAUCCAUGUCCAUCGCCUACAUGGGCCUGGCCCAAUACCUAUUUACUAUUGAAAAUGUCUUGAUUUGUUUGGGUUGAAGCAUUUUUUUGCUAGAAGCACGCAUACCUCAAGAUAGGCCCAUUAAAAAUAAAUACAGCAAAAUAAAAUAUUGCAAAUAAAAUGUAUAUUUCAUUCCAGUUGCAUAUCAAAUCAAAUACAAUACAUCAUCCACUGACUCCAGGCAUUAAGGUUUAACGACUAACAAGGGCACAUCAAAAUAAUUUUAUAUGUACACAACAGAAUACUUCUACAAGUGCAAGUGCACAGGAAAAUAACCAAACAAGUACACAAUCACACAUAAAGAGUGUUCCACAAAUAUUGGAUGAAAACCACAAUUUUUUUCUCAUCCUCUUCCUCUACACAAUAUGCUCUUGCCUUUGCCGCCUGCAAGAAGAAAAUGAUGAUAAGGCUUUCAGACGAAGAAAAUGAUGACGACGUUUUCUACAUUAUUAUUGGGAUGCAUAUUUUAUACUUAAUCAGCAAUGUUGAGUAAUGCAACAACUGAAAUGUGAUUAUUAGAAUCUUAGGGAAUCUUGUAUCUAAUCACCAUCUGAAAUAUCAACAAUUAUCUCAAAGAAUAAAUCUUGUGUUUAUGCAACAACUGAUGCAUGCAUAAUCAGAAAACAUGAUUGAUUCUUUCAGUGUGAAUCAUCAAACAUGAUUGAUUCUUUCAGUGUGAAUCAUCUUUUGAAUGUAUGCAACAACUGAUGCAUGCAUAAUGAAAAAUGUAGUAAACUGAAAAAAGAACCUGUACCAGAUCGUUAAGGAUAACGAGCAAACAUAAUUGUUUGGCUUUGUUCAUUAUGUGCUCGCGAGCGUUCACGAGCUGCUCGUUAAGAUCGUUAAGAAAACUUUAGUAAUGACACCCUAAGUUGUACAUACAUGCAUCAGUACCAAUUAAAGCUAUGAUAAUCUAUAGCAUGAAGAAAUAAUCUAUCCAAGCAAACAAGCAGCAAUAUGGUACAUGGCUACAGACUAUGCACAGGCAACACAACGUGCAUUUUUUUUUUUUUUUGAGCGGGCAACACAACGUGCAUUUGCAUACAUGAUCUGAAGAUUUGACAUGCAUUACCGUAGACAUCCAAUCUUCCAUCAAACAUCAGGAAAACAAAAUGAAUAUUUGAUACUUGAUAAUUCAUAGCAGUCACUCAACUGAACAAUAACAUAUGUCCAAUAACAGUUGAGAUAACUCGCAAACACAGUUUUAAUAAAAAGGACUCCAAAAUUAAAGGUGACGAAGAAAUAAGUAGCAGACCAGAACCAUCGUGCACUUUUUUCAAGGGAAACACACCAUAAAGUUGUGAGGUAAUUUUAGUUCAUAGAGUCGAGGAACCGAACCAACACACCAAAUCUACCGUAAAGCUAAAAGAACUUCGACACGCUUUAAUUGUUGAUUUUUUUGUUCAUUUUGUAGAAGUAAGAAAUGAAGUGGUUAAUUGAAUAAACACACAAACCUUUUUAAAGGACAUAACUUUAAUACAAUAACCAUCAGGAAACUAUUCCAUUUUGCGAGUUGGGGACAAUGACUAGAUUGAUAAUUAAACAUAAAAAGCAUAGCAUGACAGCAGGGGCGGAGCUGGACCUAAAGUCACCCUGAUGCACCAUUUCAAUGAUGCACCAUUUCAAUGUGGCGUAAAUUUCUUAGCAAGAGUGCACCAAAUAAAAAACAUGUACUGUACAUCAGCAUAGACUACCGAACAUAAUGCAAAUUAAUGCAAAAACAAAUAAAAAAGUAACACCAAUUUUUUUACUAGAAUGAUGAAAACAAACGAAAAAAUCAGUUGGAAAAAAUAUUUUUGAUUUCGGAUCUCAGAAUACACUAUCAGACAUAAAGGUUCAACAAUCUACAUGGCCAAAAGUUUACUUCAAAUUUUCAACAGAACAUAGAACGGCUAAAUAAAAGUAGGCAUAAUCUACGUACAUUUGAUAAGUACAGACAUGCCUGGAUAAAAUUACACAUUAGAAAAUGAAAAAAAGAGAGUCAUUGCUGUGCGCCUAUCUACCGUUUUUUUCUUUUCGAAAUCAGACUAGUCGUUUGUGCGUGUGCGGCUAUGUUUCAGCGAUAAAUUGAUUUCUGGCUCGCAUGGCUGGUUGUCGCCUUCCUACAUCAAUUAACUUCUGCCUUCUAGGCCUACUGUCAAAAGGCUCACAACUUCCAUGCCCAAAAGGCCAUCAGAACGGAAGAUGUCGCUGGCAGAAAUUUUCUGUUCCCUGAUGCACAAUAAUAAGUGUAACCUGAUGCACACAUCGUAUUACUGAAGCUAAUCACUACUGGACAAUUUUUUUGACCCUGAUGCCUGUGCAUCAGGGAGCAACUAUGCAGCUCCGCCCCUGCAUGGCAGAACCAUUCAACAUAUAAGCAAAUAUUGCUGCUUAUAAACAAAUCAUGCCAAAUGGUUGGACAAAUUUUAGUUAGCAAAUAUCUUAAUACUACAGAAUCUUGUAGACUAAAAUAUGCCUUUGAAGCUAUAUCUUUAUAUGAAGGCAAUGCAUCAUAAGCAUUCAUCAAGUUGAUACUGUAAAUUUAAUUUCAUAAUAGAAGCAGAGAGCAGCAUAAUUUAAAAUCGAAGGAAGCACCACAUGUCGAGUAUACCUGAUUACAUUAAUAUUCCUGCAAUCUGAGAAUCCAUGCGUUAACAUAUCUCCUGGAGCAACCAUUUUGACAAUCUUCUAUUGACCAAUAAUAAUCGCAUGGAAAAAAUCUGCAAAAAGGCUACUGGUCAAGUAGUUAAGGACAAAUAAAUCAAGGCUAGACCAAAAUUCAGGGAGAUUUUAACAAAAAUAAAAUAAAACAAAAGUUGUAAGACCAAUAAUAAUGCACCAUGAUCUGAAGCCCUUUAUAAAGAAAAUACAACCAAUGUGUGAAGCCCUUUAUAAAGAAAAUACAACCAACUAAAGUCUUCAUGGAAGCAAGCAUCUCCCCAGAGACUUGGGAUCUACUCCAUUUGUGCAUGCAUGGCUGCAUAAAUUUAUACGCAUUCGUGGAACAAACAGUACACAAUCCAUUUGGUUCUGGUUGUAUGCAUAACAUUUUAGUUUAACUUAGCACUAAUUUGUACUGAUGUAUCCAUUCUAGAGGCAAUAGCUAAUAUGCAGUAAAGUAGGUAAUGAUUAAUUUUGAAUAAAACAGAAAACAGACUGAAAAUUGAAACUGAAAUGGGAGAAAGGCACUAGUGGUAGAAAAGUUAGCAUUUUUUACCUUAGUGUAAAACCUUGGUUCACGAUAAUGUGUCGGAUUCACUUUCCUUUUUGAGUCUCCAGAUUGAUGGAAGCAUGAUUCUCUAAAGAAGAUAUGGCCAUCAACUUUGAGCCAUUUAACCAUUCUUUCUACAAGCUUCUCAACCUACAACAAGGGAUAAAGCUUAGAAACAGUCACAAGAAAUCAAAUAGAAUACCAGUUAACACAUGCCCACAAAAAUUUAGCUUAGAUGUUAUCAGUUCAGGCUUUCCGGAACCAGGGUUAACUAUUGAUUUGGACAAUAAACGAUUAGUACUCCUUAAUUAUUCUAGUACUCUGCAUAUAGCAUGGUAAGUCUUCUUAUAUGAUACCUGGUGUAAUAUGCCAUAUUGAUGUUGAAUGUAAAAUACAGGAAGAUGGAUUAUUAUAUUAUUACUAAGGACAAUAUGAAUGGCAAACUUCUAUAAAACCAAAAAAUAAAUACAAACUUCAUAUUGAAGUUGAGGUUUUUGGCAUCAUCUCAAGUAGACGCGAUAAUAGAUCCAGGGAACACUAAAAAAUUACGUGUCAGCAUCAUCAAUGAGCACAACACAGUUUGUACACUAAAAAAAUACUUGCAGCGAUGGUACUCUCACCUACCAUCAUGGAACAUCCCAAACAAAGAAGCUCUUAUAUCUUUGGUAUGAGCACCUUCAAGGCAUGCCUCAAACAUAUGACAGCAAAGUGGUUGUCCUGUUUAUGAAGGCCAAAUACCACAGAAACAAUCUGCUGAAAAUCCCUUAAAACUACAACCAUGUGGAAUAGAUCAGUAGUUAGUUAAGAGUUUGAUCCCACUAGUACAAACAUUUCAACCCAACAACAUAAGGAUCGUAUGAAGCACAUGAAUUUAUUUCCCGUGUUUGAAAGUAAACAUGAAUUCUGAAUGUCUCUCUUGGUACUAUCCUUUGAUUCAAGUCCUUUUUCACUACACAAGGAUUGAAGAUCGAAUUUCAUCUAGGCAUGACAAAACAAAAACAUGACAAACUAUGCAUCUACCCUGUGGUAGGCCCACACUCUUUCCCGCUAUCGCACACGGUUUCUAGUGAUUUAUAUUGGAUGCCUCUCUGCCUUUCAGGUUUUUUUCUGUUUACAUCCUGAAUCGAAGAAUUUCGAGAAAUAAUCUUGUACGUAAAUGAAUAACACUCUUAACUCUUUUGGCACCGAAAACAGACUAUUUAUUCCAUGCCGCUGCUUAUGAAAUUGAUUUCAUACAUAUCACUGACAAGCCUACACAUCUUCACCCCAACCAUUAAUAAGUGCAUAAAAAGGCAUUUUUGCCACUGAUUUUUGGUUCAAGCAAUGCGAAUAUGCAAUAUGUACUUAUCUGUACUGUUCCCUUUGCCAUCUGCUCCAGAAAAAGAAUUCCAGACAAUUUCGAAUGGAAUGAGAUGUACCAUCCAGAUACUAGGCAAAAAGAGUCUUACUCUACUCUAAUUUCCACCGCCGGCACCACCACAUCGACUAGACAGGCAACUGACUGCAUCGUACGGCUAGGGUUCCCCGUACCUGCUUACAGGGCCUGGUAGCCCUGAGCGAUGGAGGGCGCGGAGGCCGAAUACGCCCGCUGAGGCAACCUUGAGCAGCACGAGCAGUGAAGCGGCGGCCUGGGGACGGCGGCGACGGCCAUGUACACCUGCAUGGGGACGGCGGCGACGGGGGGAGAUAGGGGUCAGGCUCUAGAUCCGGCGACGGGGGGAGAGAGGGGUCAGGCUCCAGCGCUCGGCGUCGGCGUUGAUGCGUCGGACGAUGUAGGUGAGCAGCUCCGGCAGCAGGCGGGACCACCUCUCCUCGUCGGCAUCCCCCUCCUCCUCCUCCUGGAGGCGACCGGGGGCAUCCUCCGGGGCGACCUCGGGUGGAGCUGGAUCCAUGCCUGUCGCCGGAUGGAUCUAGGAGCCGCCGGAGCUGCGACGUGAGAGGGGCGGGCCGGCGGCGAGCUAUAGGAGGAGGAAUAGGCCGACGUGGGUGGUGGCGGCGGCGAGGGAGAGGGGGUCGUGGAGAGAGAUACGAGACAGAGAGGGGGGAUGACGCUGGACUGGUGGGCUCUCUCUCUCUCUCGUGGGCUCCUAUUUUUUCUCCUUUUCUCUAUGGAUGGAUGGAGGGGUGUGGGGGUGGAGAGCUGAUGGAUAGAUGGAUGGAUAUGCGCCACAUCAUCGAUCCGUGGAACAAUGUUUCCACCAAUAGGAAUUAAGUUCAUGCAAUUGUGUUCUUCUUUUUAUUUUUCUUCUAAUUUUUUCUACCCUCUUGACCGACGAAGGAGGGAAAGUACUAACUGCAUCCACAUCGGUGAAGGUUCCGGCGGCCUCGUCUAGGACCACGUGAACCCGCCCGACUGCUACCACACAUGAAUAUCGGAUGGAUGUGCGGCAUGUCAUCUAUCUAAGGCAUAAAUGUUUCCACGAAUGAGAAGUAACCUAUCGUGUGGCUGUUUCCACCCUCAAGUGAAGACGACGUUGCCGUUCAUGAAAAGGGUCACAAUCUGGAGCCACGUGGCGGGCGUCUAAAGCUAUUUUUGUCAUUUAAAGAGUUUUCCGCCAAAUCAGAAGGAAAUCAGAUGGAAUCGGAAGGAAAUCGGUCAAACAAUUUUGCACAAGGGUGCAUCUUGGAAUGGCAAACAAUGUUGCUAAAGGGAGUUUUCAUUUUCUUUGGAUGUAAACUUCAUUUUCCAUUUGUGGCCUUGUCGACACCUAUACAAGACACAUAGGCGAAAUUGUUGAGUUUUCUGCCCAGUCACCUCUGUUUAAGCCUAUGACCUUCUUAAUUUUGUCAUGGAGGACCUACAAUGCGGGCAUAAAUAGAGCUACACAUGCUAGUGACCAUUUUGAACAAUGGGAUUAUGACCUUCUUGAUAGAAAUGGUCAAAAAAUUCUACGGUUUGGACCCUAUUAGACACCCCAUGACCUUUUUGUAGAUUUUAGUCAUAGAUCUAUGACCAAUAAAACUGCCGUCAAUAUUUUUUGUCAUAAACGAGCUUAUUUCUUGUAGUGCGUAAAAGUCGAUCACCAUCAGCAUCACGCUCCUAUAUCGUCGUCGCCGAUCCAACGACCGUCUUCUGUAUCAACCGACUCGCGUCGAUCCAUCAGAUUGUCUAGUCCGACCCAGCCGAAUCUUCCCGACUGCAUGACACACUCCAGGCUCCUGAAGCCGUCAUCGUGACCAUCACCAUUUAUACACAAAUGUGUACCACACAAAGAAAACGAAAUAAAGUCCCUCAAAAACUUUCCUGUGUGCAAGUACCAAAGAGAUCACCAAAGAACUCCAAUCCAGCGCACUUAGCUUUUGGACUCUUCUUUUCUUUUCCUUUUCCUUGAUAGCAUCGCACGUAUAUGACUUGCUCCUAGCACCACUCACCGCAUCCUCAAUCCCAUUGCAUCGUUGCUUGCUUUACACGCCUCGGCCACCCAACACGUACCUAGGCCGCAGCCAUGAUGACUGCGUCGUGUGCUCUCGCGCCACCACUAGCGCGUAAGACGCGACGCCUAUACGCAGUUGCCUGACUGCUGCAUCGGUUUCCGCAUGCGAUCGAUCUGCUUGCGAUCUCGCCAAGUCGGCUUCAAACACGACGGAGUGUUGCGUUGCCACAACUCACAUGCAUUGCUUGACGCUAGCCCGAUCGAUCCACCUGAUCGACCGCCGCAUGUCUUGCCAGCCGCUGUCAAAUUGAUCUGCCGCCGCAUGGCGAAGGAUACUGCUUCUGAUUGCUAUCUUGGAUCUGACGACGUCUCACGAUCGCUCAUGUCUGCUGCUAGCUGACAAUGAUCACGACAUCGAAUCUUCCUCCUCUAGACCAACAACCUCGAACAACCUAGCUCAUGAUACCAUUUGUUAGAAUAAAUCCGAGGUACUUCGUCGAUCAUCCGAGGAUCAAGCAAUCGCACGAGCACGACACCGAGAAUUGUUAACGAGGUUCACCGAUAUGGUUACAUUCCCGCGGCAUGAAUACGGGCGCUUCUCCCCGUGACACCGUCACCAUACCGCACACUGGCCGUCCUGGGCACCAGCACACGUCGUCAGCCCCCCUUGCACGUUUGUGCUAUCAUGUUGGCAUAGGUUAUAUCGUGUGUCUACCCCCGCUAUAUAUGAAAGGACUAGGAUACAAGUGUCCUGCUUGGACAUGACUGCAUAUCCUAUCUAAACACAAUACAAUUACAAGUCCAACUGUAACCUACCUUAUACACAAUAUUCGACACAAUUCUAAUAUAUAUUUUCGGGUCAGCUUUGGAGAUGCCCUUAGCUCGAAAUGAAGUAUAUUUAUUUAGAGCAUCUACAACACUGACCCGCAAAUUUGCUCCCAUUCGUCCGCAGACAUGGGGGAGUAAUCCGUGGACAUUGAUGCCAAAGGCCACUAUCCAAUAUUGUACACAUACAUUCCAACCACUGGUCAAACUAAACAGGCAAAAUUUAUGCAAACAUGAUGGAUUUUCAUAUAAAAUGGAAGUGAUUCAUGCAAUCACAACCGAGGGGCAGCCUUCUUGGGAUCCUAGGGGCGUUGAUCCACCAUCUAGUACUCUUGCUAGCUACCGGCGGCGUAUGUGAACGUGCCGGAUUCAUGAUCGUGGUCGCGUUGCAUAGAAGUGGCUGAGCUGGUGAUGCAAGCCUCUUCAUCGCUCUUGCACCACACCUCACCCACCGCUUCGUUGAACUCCCUGUAGGUGACUUGUAACUCCGCCUAACGUUCCUGGUACCGCCCAGUGGUUGAGGUAGAUCUCACGUGUGUAGCAGCAACACUCGAGCAAUGCCUCCUACUCAGGAACGUCCACGUCCGGCAUGACCGGCAAGAUAGUACCGCCCGCGGAAGUGCCGGCAGCGAGCAACAUGUCCGGGCUCCAAUGCUCCUUGUGGAGUCCGAGGUUGUAGGCCUGGUAGGCCUAAGCCUGUCGGAACUUGACCUCCUACUCUUCCCACAACAUGUUCGUGUUUUGCGCACAAGCCUCACUGAUGGUGGGGCCGACAUCCAUCAUGAAAAUAUUGUGGUGUCGGCUCAUCAUCAGUCGCAUCCUCCACCGGGAAAUCAUCGGCCUCCGUCUUCGUGCUUGCCUUCCAACUGGCAGCAAUGGUUGUCAUCUCCAUCUUCUGUUCGGACGAGAGGCUAUCCCCGUGUGCUUUGGAGCACGACAAGGCCAUGGCGGGCAUGCUGCAGUGAGGAAAAGGAACCGGAAGGAGGAUGACUGCAAUUGUGGUUGGCGAUGGAGUUUAUAGAGCGGGUGGACGUAAAUGGGCAGCGGUGAUGUGGCUAAUGAUGGGCGGCACAUGGACGAACGGGUGGCGUCGGAAUAGGUUCCGCGGCAACCGCAUGUCACCUUUGUAGGGUGACGGAAUAAAGUGUGUCCGGACUGCCGAGUGGACCAACACAUGACAACGUUGGAUGGCUUCUGAGGUCCUAACUGACUGGUCGGCACAUAUGGUCUACGUCAUAGUUGUCUCACGUGGACUAAUGGUUAGACACAAACAGAAAAACAGUGAUCUGAACGGUGCCUCCAGAAUUAGCUCUUUACUGUGAUAUCAACGUUGGUUUUGGCCAAGCCUAGAGAGACGGUCAUCCUCUAAAUUUUGAAUUUUGAUGAUUCAUAGUUCAGUGAUAUCUAAUGUAGCCCAUAAUAGAGAAAAAUGGGUUACCUUACUAACAACUGUUUGUUAGCACAAUGUACCGUCGUUUUUCUUCUACAAACCAAAAUGUGCCAGGAUAAUGAAAUAUACAACCACUUAAAUCUUCAAUACAAAAGAGAAUCAAUUGAACUGUAAGUUUCUCAAGAAGUAGAACCAUAAAAGAUCACUUAACUGCAACCAGACCAACGGGACAAAUAUAUAGACUCGGAUCACACUUCUGCCUCAUCGAGCUGCUAAGAACGUUCAACAACACGGUGCAACUGAGAGGAACCUUCUGGCUCAUGAGGGUGUUGAUACUUACUAAACUCGUCUAUCAUCUGCACCCAAUGCUCAUUGCCGUUGACUAUUUUAUUAAAUGCUAUCAUAGUUGUUUUAAAUUUAUCGGAAGAUUAGAUGCCGACCUACCAAAAGCUCAAUCGCAUUCUCAUGGAUACCGAGGGAGAUUAAAUACUUCCUCCAGUAACUGCUUGCUCCCUCUACUGAUAUAGACGCGCUAUCGGGCCAUGCAUGCCAAUAUCUUUCAAACCUCUUGCUCCCUCUAAUAACAAAUUAUAUAUCCUAUGGUCAGAACGGGUGUUAUGAUUGAUAAGUUGUGCUAUAUUCAUCUUGUUUCCUCCGGUAUCAGCUUGGAGUUGAGAUGUUCUAGGGCUUUUUCUGUACAUGUCAUGUCUACUUCCUGUCUCAGAAUCUCAGUUAAUAUGGCCCGUUCUAUCCCUAGCACCUGCAAUCUCACCAUUUCUUGCAAUCAUGUUUGUGCACCGAACAUGACCUUCUUCAAGCUAGACAUGUGGUGUGUUCGAUGGAUCUCAUAGCCAAGAGCCUUCCAUCAUGAGUUCCAUUCAGCGUCACUAUCCAGAAGGGACAUCAAGGAACAAGAUGGGAUGGAUGCAAUGACGGAGAUGGUCGCACAUCUCCAGCCGCCAACUUUGAAGCAUGGGCAUACCUCCGUCCGGCAUGGAAGGCAACCAAGGUUGUAGGCUGAAUUUCAAACCUGGGUAUGCGAAGUUAUAAAAUGUUUUACUUAAAAGAACAUUACAUUACACGCAUACUAAUUAACUAUCCACAAAUCCAUCACAUCAUCUACUAUUUCAGUGAAUAACAAACAUGCAAUUCACAAGUGCAUAAAUGCCCCGAAAAAUCACAUUUGGUUUUAUCUUGUGCGCUUGUGCGAAUAAUAGGACAGCGAGGCGCUAAGGCAAUUGAAGAUGGUGGGUGCUGUUACGGACAGGCGUCACUCUUCCACUUCCUUUUCUUUUUACUGAUGAUGUGAUGAUGACGACGAUAGUCAUUUGGCACAUAUUUUUAGGGCAAGGCAUUGUCGCACGUUUUUCUAGAUAAGAUCAUUGUGGCAUGGUUUUUUAAAGGAAGUUAAUGUGGCACGUGAAGGACUGCUAGGUGGGGGCGGUUGUCGUGGUCUCAACUUUUGCUGCUGGCCCGGCCAGAAAGGAAUUAGGUGGUGUCUUCUAUUUUGGACCUCAAAACAAACUCAUCUGAAACACAUAGAAAUAGGGCCAGAAAGACGACCAAUCGAAAAUAAAGGCAUCGUGCGCGGCUGAUUUAACGACAUCAACAAAAUGGAGAUGCACAGUAGGAUCAGCUUUUUGAGUACCUCCUGCUUCUCGCGGAAGGGUUGUUGGGAUUUGUCUUGAUGUUGAGACUUGAGAGUGAAGGACAACGAGAAAUGGGACCUCGCCACCUUGGCUUGGCACUCAUUUAGGAUGGUCAUUUUACCUGCCUGCCCUUAUACAACCUUUUCGUGAAACUUUUCCCUGCCUAAAAAGGUAGGGCAGUGGUAAGGCCAAAACAUAAGGUUAGUAAAAUCCAAGAAAUGGAUGACAACCUUUUCGUGAACCUUUUCGAUCGCUCGUUGCUGCUGGCUACGUUCGCUUCAAUCUUUUUUCCUUCUUAUUUUUCUGGUUGUAUUUAUUUCUCUCAUGGUUUUCUUUAGAUUUCCCUUUUUUGUUUUCCUUUUGUUCUUUCUUUCAUUCUUGGUUUUCAUUAAAUUUUUUUUUUCAUUUUUCAGUUUUCUUGUGUUCUUUAGUUUUAUUAGUUCAUUUGUUUGUUUUCUUUAGUUUUCAUUGUGUUCAACGGUUUUCCCGGUUUUUCUAAUUCCUUUCAACACACAUCUAUCUUUUUUUACAUACAAUAUACAUUUUUUAUACAUACAAAAUAUUUUGUAUCCAUCUUUUAAUUUUUUGAAUACAUGACUAAUAUUUUUAAUAAUAUAUUUUCUGAUGUUCUUUUAUACACCUUUUAAAUUUUGUUAUGUAUGUAAAAAAAACUUUAAAGCAUAUUCAACAUUUUGAAAAUACAAGACUAAUAUUCUUUAAUGUAAUCUUUAUGUCUAAGUUUUUGGUAUAUAUCAUAAGCAUUUUUAUACACAUUCAACAAUUUUAAAUACAUGAUUAUUUUUUAUAAAUUCAUAUUUUGAUAUGUCAUUUGUGGAUUACACAUUGUAUAUUUUUUGUAUAUACCUGGAUACUUAUUUUUUAAAAUAUUUAACAUUUCUCUAUUAAAUGACUAAGAUUUUUCCAAACACAUGUUUUUGAACAUUGUUUUUCCAGUAAGUGUUAAACAUUUUUUAAAUGCUAAGAAUUUUUUUGUAAAGUUGAUGCAACAUUACUUUCCUUUUUAAAAAUAUAUUUACUUUAGAUUUUCUAGAAAGAAUAAAAAAAGGUAAAAGAAAAAUAAUAAACAAAAUCGAGUGAAUGAACGGUAGUAACGAACUAACGAAGCGAACGAAUGGAAUAAGUAAUACUACUAAGCUUUUUUUGAAAAGGGGUAUUUUAUUACGUAAAAGAUAGAAGAAUUACAUCCGGCCUACGUAUAACUAAGAUGCACACAGCCAAAUAUUGUCCUCUCAUAUAAAAAAAAAAUAGAAAUGCGAGAUGCAAAGAAACAUGAUGAGUCCGUAUAAAGCCUAAAGUAGAGCGGGGUCAAUUCUAAGAUUAUGCUGCCACCCAUAUUGGAUAAAAGUAUUCCUCGUCGUAAUCUCCAAUCAUGUACAUAUAUACCUCCAUAAACAGGUUCAGAUUCUUCACGUGUUGUAGAGAUGACUAUAAACGAAGUUCCGCUACAUCUGUAGAUAACCUGCACAAGAGAAGUGCUUUUAUCAGUGAAAACAUUAUCAUUUCUAAAUAGCUAAAGCGGCCAAAUAACGGCAAGCGCUCCCGCCCUGAGCCAGUUGUCAAAUACAUAAGCAACACUGCAAGGAGCAUAUAAGUCAGAAGCUAUUUGGAUGACUGGCUAUAUAGAACGAGCCAAUUUGCACUGAAACAAUAAAUAUUUUAUUGUCUCAUCAUAAUGACAAAAGGCACAUUGCAUACUACUGAGCUUGACCAUUACCACGUUGCUUUAGGAAAGUUUACGGUCUGCCCCGCUGUAAACGAGACAUAGUCAUUCCCCGGCCCUACACAGAGCCCUUCACACACCGGUCAUCAAAGCUGAACAGAACGUAAGGCCAAGUGCUGCUAGUCAGCACAGGGGGCAGAGCAUAACCUCCAGGCAUGCACCACCUCUAUGAUUUGAGACAGCCCAGUAGUGUCACGUGCGGGGGAGGGUGUGUAGGUGUUGGUUCAUAGGGUGUGUUUGUGUGUGUUCGUCAGCGUUUGUAUAUUACAUCUUUCUGAAUUUACAAUCCCAAAUAUUACCAGCAUUAAUUCUAACACUAGGUUAGCUAUGUUGCAGGAUAUUCAUCUUCGAUGGUAGACAGAACAUAGUUCUUAUAUGGUGUAAGCAACUUGGACACACCUGCGGUGUAUAAGAAGCCCACAAAUAACUGAACCCAAAAUGCAGCAAAUGAUGACCCCAUUUGUUGAUCUUUUACGAAAAUGUGCCAUCUCUUCCACGUGCGAUGCGCAAGACAACCUUCUUUGGUAGUAACUCAACCACGGAUCCUUCGACGACAGUGAAAAAAGGAGAGAAUCGGUACAUCAAAAAAUUUCAUGGAAGCCCAUUUUAAUCAUUAUAUGGCUUAAAGAGCUGUAGUUGAGAUAAAAUUGAGAUGCGAUAUGCUGAACGAAAAAGAGACACGGUACAACAGUCAGUUACAAAGCCAUGAUUUGAUUUCACUAAGGCAACGUAGUCCAUGAAACAAAAUAAAUGGACGAACCAACUUAUCAAAGCACUAAUAACCUGUGGCUGCAGAGACAUACACAAAGCGCCCACUUGCUCGACAUGGAACAACUACAAGGCCAGCCAUAAUCUUGUCAUGCAUGCUCCCGCAGCCAUUAACGCACUGUCUAACAUCACUAUAUCGUUUUUAAAUGACUCGUCCCAGUUUUUAGUAAAUGCAAAUACCAUGAAAUUAAUGAAGCACCAUAAAAUGAUGAGAUGCUCUUGUACAAGAUGAUAGACGUUUCUAUAAAUUUGUAGAUACUGGAUGGACAGCUAAUGCAUUCACCAACCUUUCAUUGUGUAACCCUGACCCGCAUUAUAAAAGGGUGCACUACCUUGUAUUUUCUUCUUGGACUAGGGCACAAACUAGAAAGAGACGUGGGUUGGAAUGGGACAGUUCAUUAUGAAUGAGAGACAUACGGGAACACCUCAUCCAUUAUUCCUGACAUGGAUGUAGAAGCACUACAAAUCAAUGGCACACGGCGACAACCAUACAGGAUUGAUGUCACUGCCAAGAAGCUGCAGCAUUGCACAACAUUUUCAGCCCGAGCAUAGCUGGACCGUGACAACGCAAAGAGGAGGCCUAUUUGGCCCAGUCAGCACAUGAGUAGGUCAAAGCCGAGGAGCACACUGCAGCCAUGGCCCACUAAUCAGCGUAUUAUAACGCUUUUGUAACUGGCCCGGGCACCAGUGGAAGGGACGUUUGCUAAAAAAACACUACAGGAAGCGAGGUGGCAACAAUAGGUGGAGCCCGCACUCUGGAUAGUUGAUGAGCUCAAAGCGUAAGAACAAAUUCAAUAUUGAGUAUGCAUGCAAGACAAAUGUUUGUUCAUGCUCCAUCCAUGUAGUUCACCAUCUUGAUAUGGAAGACAUAGAUAGAAUGAGCGAAAUAAAUUGAGGAGAAAUUCUGCCUUACUGUGACUUAUCUUAUUCCUCUUUCAGAAAGUUGUCAUUUUGAAAAAUGUAUAGGUGUACGUCAAAACAUUGACUACGCACAUUCAAAAAGUGGUUAAGAUAAUUAAAAAUGAGAUGCACUGGUUUUCAAAAUUUCACAACAAGUAAUAUCUGUUGGGCUUUAUAAACACGAUACGAUCAAAAUUAUAAAUGUAAGUCGUGUUCUCGAGACUGCAUAAAAAUUAGUUUAAUUUGUGAUGUUACAAUAAGUGAAUCUCUAUGAAAAACAGAAGAAGAAGAAAACAGCUACCCAGGGCCUCUCAAAGGGAUUUGAUAUCCUGUGCUGUCAGAACUUCGCUCGCUUUUGGAGAACCUAUUCUGCAAUCCGGAUGUUGCCUUUGAUGGUGGUUAGAGUAUUGAUGUUGCGAGUGUUUCAUCACUGCGGCGAAUCUUUAUUUUUAUAUUUCUGUUUUUAGCUCUGUGCAUUAUUGAUGUAUUUUGAUAUCUUAUCGAUGCAGAGGCUGAGUGUAAUUGAUAUCUUUAUGAUAUUAAUAUAUUUCCUUUAGAAAAAAAUCUUCAGUAGCUGCUGAGCAAUAAUGCUUUACCGUCACAGUCACACUCACGCGCCCGCUUACGGCACUGAUGCUCUGCGAGCCCACAUAGGCAUCAUAUCAUUAAUCAUGGCGUUCAAUGAUCAAAGGCUUACAAGGGCCCGACAAAGAGGGAACUCGUAACCCGUUUGUUCAGCGCAUAGUACUUUUCGUGCCCCCUUUGAGAGUAGUAGGUGGCUUCUCUUCCUGCACAACCCAGAAAGUGGCCCCCUUUGUGCUGCUCGGCAUUGCAUUGCAGAGGCAUGUCGAUGAAGCUCGCAGUCAGUUAAUGGACGUGCGUUAUUGAAUUAAUCAACGGACUUGUUCUUAGAUCUUCCAUGUUAGUGGAGCAAGCUACUCGAGGACGAACUAUAGAGAAGGCAUUCUCUUAGAGCCAUCGCAUCAAAAUCCGUGGAUCUGCUUUCAUUUUUGGUGGCCACAAUCGGGCGGAUCUUGCACCUGGCUCGAGGCUGUGAUACAGUCUCUGGCCGCUGAAGCAACCCUUGCACUGCUCGUCUACAAAUAGUCAACCCUUGCACUUUCCUGUCCCAGCCAGGUAGGCUACAACUAGUGGAGCAACAAGUGAUCAGGGUUCCACUCAUGAUGUGCUUCUGCAUGCCACCCAUUCUCAAGACACCACAUUUGACAUCCAUCUCUCUUCCCCCCCAUGUCACAAGUUCAAAUGUUGGAUUUAGCGCUAGUUCUACUUCCCGGUGCCUACUUGUCUCGUAAAGGGAGCUACAAUAGGUAAGGAAAACAGAAAAGACUGUCUAUCAAACAAUAGUAGGCAUGUGCAAUGGGCUUUAUAAGGACGGUGUCUCCGUAUCUGUAUCCAAUGGAAGGUCGGUGGACAUUUAGCACAGGUUCUUCGAAGUCUCAUAUACCAAAUAAAUAAAACAAAAUAAAUGUUGUAUUUGUUUUGAGAGAAAAGGUAAACCUCCCUGCCUCUACGUCUGCAUAUGCGUCUGGGCAUAAUUUCAUUUAAAUUGAUGCAUGAUAACAUGGUUAAAGCACCAACAAGAAAAGUACAUAUACAUAUUUCGAUGCAGAGGCAGGAGGUUUUCACCCUAGUUUCGGUUAAGAGCAGAGUGAUUGGAAGUUGAGCCAUGGAGCAACGACAAAAACCUUGACAAUAUGCAAAAAAUUACAUAUGACUAAGACUUCUCUUGUGAAAAGGCGACAAACCUCUUGUACAAGCAACGCCAUAACAUCAACAUGAAGACAAUGCUUUCAACAAUGUAAAUAUACAGAUAUGUCGUGUGUUGUUAUCCCAACCAAGAACCUAGCUAGAGCACAUUUGCACAUGUUCCACACACGUUGAGACACACUACCUAGCUGAGACAACUUUGACCUUGGAUAUUGGUUGUCAUCUAUAGCUUUGAUUUUUUCCUAAUGACAUUAUCAGUAUUCGAAUGAACGUUGUUUCACUAAUAGAAGACUCCCAUGUACUUCAAAAACUACUGCAUACAACUAUGCAAGUGGGUCUCAACCCAAUCCAGAACACAAGAAGCAUUUCCAUCAUGGCGUCCGCCUCCAGCCCCGCCCCUGCCUCCUUCUAGCCAAACACCUCCGCUUUGUCUAAUCCCACCCUGCACGCGCCCUGCAUAUGAACAAGACUGUAUGUUCUGCAACGGUGCCACAAAAGAACGAAUCCACGUUUGAUGUCAACUCUAACUCUUUAUACAAUCAAGGAUGUACAAUCAGCAUCAAGGCAAUGCUUUUAACAAUUCAACGAUACAAGCACAUCUUUUACUUACACUUAAAGUGGUGUUUCGCUUUACUUCGGAUACAACGGGAGGACGUUUGCACAUGGUCUACACAUGCCGAAACACACUAACUAGCUAAGGCAGCUUCUGAUAAAACCUUUAUAAUCGAUCUACGUCCUUUCUAAAAAAAUCAGCUUGCUGCUGGCUGUCAAUUUUAGAUUUAUAUUUUCCAUUGAACAAUAUUUUUCUUAGCUGCUACUAAUAUGAAUGUUGGUUCACCAAAAAAGAUCCCUCACUUCUUAUAGAGUAAUAAAGCAAGAGAACUUUUACGGUACAUCAUACUACUACUGAAGAGGAGCAGUAUAUGUUUAAUUCAAUUGACAGCCGGCUUCUUUAUGAUAAGUGCAUCAAUGUUUAAAGCAAUGAGGCUCUUUCUUGGUAAGUGCAGUAUUUUGUCUCUUAUCAUACGGAUUUUCUCUCCGAAGACCCAUUUCGUACGACAUGGGCAGAUUUCUACUACGCUCGCAUUCUUUAGCAGGACUAGUGCUAACCAAUGUUUUAAAUAGCCGGCUAUAGUCCCCGCUAUAGCCUUUGAAAGAUCUUUCGCUAAAGCUAUGCACUUUUAGUGGUAAAUUGAAAAUGAGGUUAAUAGCCCGCCAUUUUUCGCUACGGUGCUAAAUUUGGAGUCAUUUAACCCGCUAAGCCACUAUACAAAACCAUACUUCUGCAUUAUCUUUUGCUCUUGUUUAUGAUAUAUAUGAUGCAUUGGAGUGAAGCUUGAUUAUUGAAUUAGGAUGGCUCUUGAUAAUCGCGCUUUGAUGUGUGAACAUGUGUAUAUGUAAAAUAUAUGCAAGAGUAAAAUACACUGAAGGUCCUAAAAGUAUUCUAGGUCUAUCAAGUAGGUCCUAAAAGUUUGAAAUUGUUCAUCACGGGUCCUAUAUGUGUAUUUUACCCAUGACUUUUAGGACCUAUUUGCCACACUUGGAAUAAUUUUAGGACCUGCGGUGAACGACUUACACACAUUUAGGACCUAUGAUGAAUGAUUUCAAUUUAUUAGGACCUACUUUACACACUUGGAAUACUUUUAGAACCUUUGAUAUAUUUUACUGUAUAUGCAAUAUAUCAUAUAUGAUGUCUGAUUAUAGACAUAUUGUUUCAAAUUUUCAUGAUUUAAAAGAAACGCUAAAUGAGGCUUAGCUCCUCUAUAGACUUUCAUAGCAUCUCAUCGAGCCGCCGCUAAAUGGUAUAACCCGCUAUUUAAAACAUUGGUGCUAGCUCUAACUCUACGUAGGCAAUCCAGAUUGGAGUAUUCACACAUCUCAAGAUUAUUCCUAACACCUACCAAUCUCCCACAUUGCAGGCGCACGUAAACAUUCAAGUCAUUCGCUCCUAACCGUUCGAACGCUUUGUUCCAACAAAAGCUGAUUGUUAGCACUAACACGAAGCUACACAACAAGCUUAGAUGACUCAAUGUUGGCUAAUCAUGAAUACUCUCUAUGUAUAUUGUGGAAUUCAGAGCAACUACGGUGGCUAGAUAUUAUUAGUGUUUUCACAUGCAUAGAUGUGUUGAAUUGGGGAAAAGCAAGAAGGAGACAUGGAUGAAACACGAGGUGUGAAGGGAAGAGUUGAUAGCCAGUCCCUUGACUCUCUUGCACUUAUCCUUUUGUGGUUAACCCAUUAAUCCCCUAGGAAUUGUUGUCAUGGGCCCUGUUUGGAUCCAUGGGUUAGAGUUAGAGUUGGUUAGAUUGGACCGAACUAACCCCAAAACAUCCAAACAGGAGGGUUAGAGUUGGUUAGAUGCAUCUAACCCACCCAAAAGAACUAACCCAUCCAAGAGGUGUUUAUUUGGGUUAGAGUUAGAUGGGGCCCCGGAAAAGGUUACUUUCCCUUUACCUCCACCACACCAAAUCCUGGUUAAAGGAGGCAAAUGAUUGGAAAAAGUGUAUUUAUUGGCAAUCUAUCCCUACCAUUCAAACACCUCUUUGGUUAGAGUUAGUUCAGAGUUAGUCGAGGGUUAGAAUAUAACUCUAACCUUUAACCGAGUUAGAGUAUCCAAACAGAGCAUGAUCAAUAGCAAAGAGUCAUCCAUGUAGUUCUUGGUUUCCUAGGGCCACCUUAAGAUAGUUGAAAUGCCCCCUCCAUAACGAUCGCCCGCCGUGUCUAGUGAUCAAAGGUAGCACGCGUGGUCUCAAUGUCGCGGACCAGUAGGGUAGUGGAUUUUUUCAUGGAUUCCUCACAUUCUCAAUGGAAUGCGCAUGCCCGCAUACACACACACACAUAGACGUUGUUUUGGUGCUUUAACUGCAUGUGCCUUUGGGUCUAUGACAUGUGGGUUAAGGCACCCAAGCUCAGUCCUAAACACACACAUCUAAUUCCUUACAAUAGAUUUCUCUCUCUCUCUCUCUCUAUAUAUAUAUAUAUAUGUGUGUGUGUGUGUGUGNNNNNNNNNNNNNNNNNNNNNNNNNNNNNNNNNNNNNNNNNNNNNNNNNNNNNNNNNNNNNNNNNNNNNNNNNNNNNNNNNNNNNNNNNNNNNNNNNNNNNNNNNNNNNNNNNNNNNNNNNNNNNNNNNNNNNNNNNNNNNNNNNNNNNNNNNNNNNNNNNNNNNNNNNNNNNNNNNNNNNNNNNNNNNNNNNNNNNNNNNNNNNNNNNNNNNNNNNNNNNNNNNNNNNNNNNNNNNNNNNNNNNNNNNNNNNNNNNNNNNNNNNNNNNNNNNNNNNNNNNNGUGUGUGUGUGUGUGUGUCCCACAAACAAACAUUGCAAUGUUAUGGACAUAUGCACUUAUUGCAUCCUUUAUAGGAGUAGAAAAUCCUUACAAAUGGAAAAAAAUUACAUCCUUUAUAGGAGUAGAAAAUCCUUACAAAUGGAAAAAUUGGUGAGCAUACUAUCCUUAACCAAGAAUUAAGAUCAUCGUCAUUAUAUAUUCUAGUACCAGAAAAAUCUCAUAUUUUGACAAAAUUAAACAGUCUCUCUUUGUAAGAUAGAGAAAUGGCAUAUAUUUAUUGAGUGAGAAAGAAUGUUUAGCUCAACAGUCACAAAAGGACUUCCAUUGUACGAAAGCACAAGUAUGGUUUUGAAUUUCAGUGUAACAAAUAUUUUGGUCAUGAAGGGAAUCACUGGAUUUCAGUGAAAUCUAGUUAUUCUGACUUUCAAGUCAGCCAAAGGAAAGAAAUUUACAUUUUAAUUUAAUGGAGAUCUAAUAAAUGUUAUAAAAACAUUAAAAAAUAUUGUAUGCACUACUUAAAUUGCUGAAAUAUUUGGUCUAGAAGACAAUUCUUUUAGUAUGACUUGAAAUUGAUGAAAUUUUGAACAUUUUACUGAAUGUAUACUAAAAGUAAGAACCACCAAAACCUAAUAUACGUGAUCGUAUGUACAAAAAUAAUCAACAAUUAUUAUCUUAACAACAAGUAGGUCUAGUGACGAAGAAAAGACGAUGAUAACACAACGAUCUCUUACUUUACAUAAAGCAGCAAUCAAAAUAAACAACAUUUUUUGGUCAAAUCAGUGUGUGUUCAAGCUUCUUAGUGUGAAGUCGCCACAAUCGGAGCAAAAACAAUUUCUAACAAAAACUAUUUUUGGUGACAUUAACCCAGUUUUGACAGUUUUUUUAGGGUGACAUUAACCCGGCUUUGACAGUUUUUAGGUUGUAAAUAAUCAUACUUUGGACAUUGGAGGAUAGGGAUCAAUAAAACUGAAUUUUAAUAUUGAUUUUUUUUAGAAAUGGAAGAUUUCUCUUGUCUCUGAAUCACGAAGAUGCAUCCAACCAUAUUAUUAAAGAAGUCUUCGAACAAUACGUAAUGCGGUAUAAAGUUUCGAAAAUAGAUAAAAUGAUACGAAAGGCCACAACUGGCACAAAUAAUACUAGAUGCCUAAACACCUAUCAUAUUAAUGGACCGACAUUCAAACCAUUUGUAGAUAACCCAUGCUACCGUUUUUUCAACGGUUGCAACCAUAAUCCAUAUGCUGCUUGUCUUCCGCACGGUUGAGUAAUGACCAAAUAUGAAUCAAUGAAGUUGCUAUGUAGGUGAUCUGGUUGGUAAUAUUCUAACCAUUACAAAUGUUGUUAAAUUUGAUGUCGUUUCGACGGUACCAAAUUGCACAAAGUAAUGCGCACACUCUCACUCAUAUAUGCGCUGUAAGUUUAGGCUCCACCUCAUUAAGCUAAGUCCCAAAUAAAGUAUGUAUGAUGUUGGGUGGGCUAACAUUAAAGGCCAUGUGCACUGUGUGCCAUAGUAAUAUAUCCAGUGGGCAUUGAAGUACCAGAUGUUGAAUCGAUUCAUCAAUAUCACAAAAAUAACAUCCAAAGACCGUCUCGCAAGGCUGACUUUAGGCAAGAUCAAUUUCAUGUGAACAUACCACAUAAAAACUUUUAUCUUUAGGGCCACCUUAAUUUUCCAAAUUUGUAAUGAUUUUGGGAUUGGUUCCAUAUUUAUAAAAUCAAUAUACAUUGACUUAGCUAAGAAUACACGUGACUCUGACAGUCCCCGAUCUCCAUCAACUUAUGCGCGAGAUGGAACCAUCUAUCCCAUCGCUCACCCAUAAGUGAUCUUAUGAAUUGAAUGUUUAAAGGAAUUUGUCCUAAAAUUUCUUUGACGAAACACUCUUUCAAUUGAACAAUAUUGUAGAGAGUAGGAUACUGAAUGGCGAGUGGCUUGUCCCUGUUGGGUAACAUAGUAAUUUCAAAUAUUUCCUACGUCAUGCAAGGAUCUAUCUAUGGAGAAACCAGGAACGAGCAAAGGGGUAGAACAUAUUCAUACCUUUGAAGAUCGCUAAGCGGAAGCGUUGCUAGAACGCGGUUGAUGGAGUCGACUCGCAGCAAUUCAGAUCGCGGAGGAUUCCGAUCUAUGCGCCGAACAACGGCGCCUCCGAGUUCAACACACGUGCAGCCCUGUGACGUCUCCAACGCCUUGAUCCAGCAAGGAGGGAGGAGAGGUUGAGCGAGAGCUCCGGGAGCACGACGGCGUGGUGACGGUUGAGCUACGUGACACUACGACAGGGCUUCGCCAAGCACUACGGAGGACGAGGAGGACGAGGAGUAGGGCUGCGCCAUGGAGAGACGCAAUUGUGUCUCAAAACAGCCCCAAAAACCUCACUAUAUAUAGAAGGAGAGGGAGGAGGGUGCCCACCCUUAGGGUUUCCCACCCCUAAGGGUGCGGCAGCCGUAGAUGGCCCUUGGGGCGGCCGCCAAGGUGGAGGCGCCCUAGGGUGGGCCUUGAGNNNNNNNNNNNNNNNNNNNNNNNNNNNNNNNNNNNNNNNNNNNNNNNNNNNNNNNNNNNNNNNNNNNNNNNNNNNNNNNNNNNNNNNNNNNNNNNNNNNNNNNNNNNNNNNNNNNNNNNNNNNNNNNNNNNNNNNNNNNNNNNNNNNNNNNNNNNNNNNNNNNNNNNNNNNNNNNNNNNNNNNNNNNNNNNNNNNNNNNNNNNNNNNNNNNNNNNNNNNNNNNNNNNNNNNNNNNNNNNNNNNNNNNNNNNNNNNNNNNNNNNNNNNNNNNNNNNNNNNNNNNNNNNNNNNAGGCCCAAGGUGGCCUCCAACCCUUGCUGCGCCUUGGGCCCUUAGUGGUGGCGCACCAGGCUACCUAGGGGUUAGUUCCUAUCCAUUUUUGACCCAUGUAGCAGUUUGGGGCUGCUGGCCCUUCCCGGUGGACCCCCGGAACCCUUUCGGUGGUCCCGAUACAUUACCGGUGUCGCCCGAAACACUUUCGGUGACCAAAUCCUCACUUCCUAUAUAUGAAUCUUUACCUUCGGACCAUUCUGGAACUCCUCAUGACGUCCGGGAUCUCAUCCAGGACUCUGAACAACCUUCGGUAACCACAUACACUAUUCCCCCUAUAACCCUAGCGACAUCGAACCUUAAGUGUGUAGACCCUACGGGUUCGGGAAGCAUGCAGACAUGACCGAGACACCUCUCCGGUCAAUAACCAACAGCGGGGUAUGGAUAUCCAUGUUGGUUCCCACAUGUUCCACGAUGAUCUCAUAUGCCGGGGAUUCAAUCAAUCUCGUAUGCAAUUCCCUUUGUCUACCGGUAUGAUACUUGCCCGAGAUUCGGUCGUCGGUAUACCUAUACCUUGUUCAAUUUCGUUACCGGAAAGUCUCUUUACUCAUUCCGAAACACAUCAUCCCUUGGCUAACUCCUUAGUCACACUGAGCUCAAUAUGAUGAUGGAUUACUGAGUGGGCCCAGAGAUACCUCUCCGUCACACGGAGUGGCAAAUCUCAGUCUCGAUUUGUACAACCCAACAGAUACUUUCGAAGAUACCUGUAGUGCACCUUUAUAAUCAUCCAGUUACAUUGUGACGUUUGAUACACCCAAAGCACUCAUACGAUAUUCGGGAGUUGCACAAGCUCAUGGUCUAAGGAAAUGAUACCUGACAUUAGAAAAACUUUAGCAGACGAACAACACGAUCUAGUGCUAUGCUUAGGAUUGGGUCUUGUGCAUCACAUCAUUCCCCAAUGAUGUGAUCCUGUUAUCAAUGACAUCCAAUGUCCAUGAUCAGGAAAUCAUGACCAUCUAUUGAUCAACGAGCUAGUCAACUAGAGGCUCACUAGGGACACAUUAUGAUCUAUAUGUUCAAACAUUUAUUACGGUUUUCGGUUAAUAAAAUUAUAGCAUGAAUAAUAGACAAUUAUCAUGAACUAGAAAAUAUAAUAAUAACCAUUUUAUUAUUGCCUUCAGGGCAUAUUUCCAAGAGUCCCGUGGCCACAUAUCCUCCCAAAAUCUGUUGGUAUUACUGUCCCGAACAAUAAAUGUAGUUCUAUUGAAGCAAGCCACCUGCAUUUGCAUCAGACCCCUGUGCAAGUGUUUUGGGAAGUACGUAACUUGUUACAUAACAAUUGUAUCCACACUCUCUCAUUCUCCACCUAAACUCUGCACAACCAUUUGCUAAGUAGUACCUGUUCUUUACCUCAAGGUUUUCAAUCCCUAGCACCCUUGGUCCGUCGACCUACAGAUUACGUCCCAUUUACCCAACCUGUAUUUUGAUUAGUUCUCAUCUUUUUGCCAGAAACAAAGUGAUUCUUAAAAGUCUAACCUUUUCUAUACCCCCACGUGUACUUUAAAGAAAGACAGAAGAAACAUCGGAAGCCCCCCAUAAGACAUAAACUUGCCAUUCUAGGAACUUAAUUAUUUCUCAAAUCGAUCCUCAAUGCAUUUCCAUUUUUUAUUCGUUAGCUUUCGGUGAUGAAUUGGUAUGCCAAAAUAUCUAAGAUGGAGAUAUCUGAACUAACACCCAAAAAAACAUUCUGUAAUUAUCUUGUUUUUCUUUCGCGCGCCCCAAGUAGAAUAACUCACUCUUGCUUAUCGAAAUUAAUUUUCAAACCCGACAUUUGUUCAAAAAGACAUAAAACUAACUUCAUAAGUCUCUCCUUUGCCAUUUUAUAUUCAAGGAAAAUAAUAUUUUCAUUGGCGUAUUGGAGAAUGAAAACCCCACCAUCCACUCGAUGAGGGAUCAGUCCACCUACUUGGACUUCCACCUUAGACCGACUGAUGAGAACUGCCAAAAUAUCGACCAUAAUAUUAAACAUUAUAGGAGACAUGCGAUAACCGUCUUAAUCGUUUUUGUACGGAAUAUUCAGGCUUCAUCAAAACCUUUCAUACAUUGGCAUUUAAAUUUGUCAUAUGCCUUCUUCAAGUCCACCUUGAAUAUAAUUCUAUCUAGUUUUUUCAGUCAAUUUCGUGCAAAGUUUCAUGGAGGACAACUACCCCCUCCAGGAUAUGUCAUCCCGUCGUGAAAGAUGUAUGUGUCUUCUGCACCAGAGCAUGCAUUUGAACGUUUUAUUAAAAAAUUACAAAUUUAUGGUAAAAAUGUACUUUCCUCUUCUUCUAAAAACGAGUACAUUGCUCCGAACCAAUACAUUUGUGUUAGGGUAAUGGAUUGCCCCCGGAUUUGCUGAAAACCACAAAAGUUCACCACAACUCCACGGCAAGUGAGUAACAAAUCACAGUAAUUCAGAACUGAGCCACAUCUAGCAGCAAAACUGACAGGUGGAACACGUAUGUCCGGGCUGAUGUGGCAAAGACUAGUCAUAGUAAAUGUUUGACCUCUUGAGGUGGAUGAAUGUCCCACUUGUCUAUCUGACACCUUCUUCUUCGUCCUCAAAUUUCAAUCUGUCCCUUCCCUUCUCACCUGCUCCACCGGUGGCUGGAGGCCGAGCUCAAGGAGGCCUGCCGGCAAGCCUUGCAGCGCCGCCGCCUCGCGCUCAACGGUAAGCCCCACCCAACGCCAGCCUUGGCCCACAACUGAGUCGCAUGGAUCCGGACGCGAGGGUCAAACCCGUGCCCACGCCCGUUGUUACCGCGCUACCGCCUGCCAACAAGCCCGAGCUUGUCGUAUUCCUCCGCGCCAUCGUCCCACACCGCGCUUGCCUCCCCACCGCCCCGGCCCUCGCUGCCAUCCCAUGCAGCCACCAUGCGUGUAUAGCGCCCCGCCCCCCGCCCGUCGGCAAGCUCUCUUGGUGGCGUUGUUGCUCCGUGCCAUCACCGCCGCCUCCCUUCUCCUACGGGGUGUCGCCUCUCCCUCGUCACCGUGGAGCUCGGGCUUGUCCAACACACCGCCGGCCGUUGAGGUGGGAAUAUAAUCCAGAAGCCGAACGACCGAACCGAGGUAACUGUUGGGUAACGUAGCAUAAAUUCAAAAAAUUUCCUACGCAUAUUCAGAUCUUCCUAUGGAGAGACCAGCAACGAGAGAGGGGUGAGUGCAUCUUCAUACCUUUGAAGAUCGCUAAGCGGAAGCGUUACUAGAACGCGGUUUGAUUCCGAUCUAGUGCCGAACUACGGCACCUCCGCGUUCAACACACGUGCAGCCCGGUGACGUCUCCCGCACCUUGUUCCAGCAAGGAGGAGGGAGAGGUUGGGGAAGAACUCCAGCAGCACGACGGCGUGGUGUCGAUGGAGAGACGAGAUCUCCCGGCAGGGCUUCGCCAAGCACCGGCAGAGAGGAGGAGAAAGAAGGGCAGGGCUGCGCCGAGGGAGAGGGAAAAGUGUGUCCCCCAAUGGCCAAAACCCCUCUCUAUUUAUAGGAGGAGGGGGGAGGGCUGCGCCACCCCUAGGGUUCCCUCCCUAGGGGCCGGCGGCCACCAGAUGGGAGAGGGGGGCGGCGGCCAGGGCAGGGAAGGGGGGCACGCCCUAGUUGGGCCUUGGGCCUCCCCUGCGCCUAGGGUUUCCCCUCCCUCCCUCUCUGGUGUGCAUGGGUUGGGUGUGGGGGCGCACCAGCCCACCUAGGGGCUGGUUCCCUCCCACACUUGGCCCAUGUAGCCCUUCGGGGCUUGUGGCCCCUCCCAGUGGGCCUCCGGAACCCUUCCGGUGGUCCCGGCACUUUGCCGGUGGUGCCCGAAACAUUUCCGGCGUCCAAAUCCAUCCAUCCUAUAUAUCAAUCUUUACCUCCGGACCAUUCCGAGGCUCCUCGUGACGUCCGGGACUCCGAAAAUCCUUCGGUAACCUCGUAUAACAAUUCCCUAUAACCCUAGCGUCAUUGAACCUUAAGUGUGUAGACCCUACGGGUUCGGGAGACAGGCAGACAUGACCGAGACACCUCUCCGGCCAAUAACCAUCAGUGGGGUCUGGAUACCCAUGGUGGCUCCCACUUGCUCGACGAUGAUCUCAUCGGAUGAACCACGAUGUCAAGGAUUCAAUCAAUCCCGUAUGCAAUUCCCUUUGUCUGUCGGUAUGAUACUUGCCCGAGAUUCGAUCGUCGGUAUACCUAUACCUUGUUCAAUCUCGUUACCGGUAAGUCUCUUUACUCGUUCCAUAGCACGCCAUCGUGUGACUAACCCCUUAGUCACAUUGAGCUCAUGAUGAUGUUCUACCGAGUGGGCCCAGAGAUACCUCUCCGUCACACGGAGUGACAAAUCCCGAUCUCGAUUCGUACCAACCCAACAGACACUUUCAGAGAUACCCGUAGUGCACCUUUAUAGUCACCCAGUUACGUGUGACGUUUGAUACACCCAAAGCACUCCUACAGUAUCCGGGAGUUGCACAAUCUCACGGUCGAAGGAACAGAUACUUUACAUUGGAAAAGCUUUAGCAUACGAAUAAUACGAUCUACUGCUACGCUUAGGAUUAGGUCUUGUCUAUCACAUCAUCCUCCCAAUGAUGUGAUCCCGUUAUCAAUGACAUCUAAUGCCCAUGAUCAGGAAACCAUGAUCAUCUAUUGACUAACGAGCUAGCCAACUAGAGGCUUGCUAGGGACACAUUGUGAUCUAUUUAUUCACACAUGUAUUACUGUUUCCUGUUAAUACAAUUAUAGCAUGAACAAUAGACGAUUAUCAUGAACAAGGAAAUAUGAUAAUAACCAUUUUAUUAUUGCCUCUAGGGCAUAUUUCCAACAGUAACGUGAACCGAAGCGUCACCGAAACGAUUCGUUCAAUACUGUGCUUGAUUAGCGAUUAUAAGAAACCGAAUUUACUUCGAUGAUUUCGGUAUGCACCCUCAGCCCACCAAAUUGACCAAAGCACCGAAGCCCAUGUAAUCCCGUUGAUUCCCAAUUAAUUCUCGUCCGUCUGUACAGUACGCAUGCCACAACUCACAAAAAACACUAUGUCCUUUUUUUAUUGUACCACAAAGGCACAUCACGUGGGAAAAACCUAUUUGUCGCUCUUUGUGUCAAAUAGUCUGGCAAACUCAUAGGGGCGCGACAAGCUCGGCCGGCCCAUCUCCCUUUGCAGGCAGUUUGGUUUCUGCUUCAUUUUUUUCCCUUUUUCUGUUUCGUUUUUUCUUCUUUUUUCCUUUUUAGUUUUUCCACUUCUGUUUCUUUUUUUUUCCUUUUUCUAUGGUUAUUUUUUUAACUUAAGUUCAUGUUUUAAUUUUUUUGUUCAAAUUCAGAAAAUGUUCUUGAUUUUAUAAAAAUGUUCUAAAUUCCAAAUAUUUACCUUUUUCAAAAACAUUCCUAGCUUCAAAAAAUGUUCAGGAUUUUAGAAAAAUGUCCUAUAUUUAAAAAAAAUGUUUACCAUUUUGAAGAAAUGUUCUUUUUUAAAAAUAUGUUAUUGUUUCCUUUCUAGUUUUUUCCUUCACCUUUGUUUCUUUUUACUUUUCUUAUUUUUAUGUUUGAAAGUUUAUGAUUUUUGUUUUGAAUUUCAAAAAAUGUUCUCGUAUUCAUAGUUUACAUUCAAAUGUCUGUGCUUCAAAAAAUGUUCCUGCUUCCAAAAUGUCUUCAUCUUUUGAAAAAUGUUCGUGUCUUCAAAAUUGUUCUUGUAUUCAAAAAACUGCAUGAUUUGUCAAAACAAUUCCCUUUUUCGUCAAUUGUUCACAAUUUUUAAAAAAAUGUUCUUCUUUUCACAUUUUCAUAAAAAAUGUUCCCAUUUUACGAAAAAUGUUUCUCUUUUUUGAAGAUUUUGUUCGUCAAUUCUAUAAUUAUACAUGAUUUUUUAAUGGUCGGGAAGUUUAGAAAAUAUUCUUCAUUUUCCAAAAAAUAUUUGCCGUUUCACAAAAUGUACGUAAGUUCAAAACAUGUUCCUGUUUUAGAAAGGGCAUAUGUUCAAAAAAUGUCCCCGUUUCAAAAAUUAUUCAUUAAUUCAAAAAAUGUUCUUUCUUACAAAAAUGUUCUUUGUUUGUAAAAUGCCCCUGUUUUUAAAUUUGUUUAUAGACUAAGAAAUUGUUUAUUUUUUCCAAAGAUUUUGUGUAUUUAAAAAAUUGUUUGAGCUUCCAAAUUCGUUCACGUUUUUUCAACAAUGUUCUCGGUUUCGAAAUUUGUUGUCAAAAUUAAAAAAAUGUUAGUUCUUUAAAAAAUUGUUUGCUCUUUCAAAUUUGUGUGGGGUUUUUUAAAAUGUUGUUCUCAAGAUUCAAGAAAUGUUCAUGUAUUUAAAAAAAUGUUUGCGCUUUCGAAUUUGUUCACAUUUUUUAAAAUUGUUCUCGGUUUUGAAAUUUGUUCUCAAAAUGCAAAAAAUGUUCAUGCUUUAAAAAUUUGUUCGCGCUUUCAAAUUUGUUUGGGGCUUUUCGAAAUUGUUCUCCUUUUCAAAUUUUUGUUCUUAAGAUUCAAAAAAUGUUCGUGCUUUAAAAAAAUUUCGCGCUUCCAAAUUUGUUAACUUUUUCAAAAAUUGUGCUCAGUUUUAAAAUUUGUUCUCAAAAUUCCCAAAACGUUCGUGCUUUAAAAUUUUGUCCACGCUUUCAAAUUUGUUCGUGGUUUUUAAUUUUUUUUCUCCUUUUCCAAAUUUUUUUCUCAAGAUUCAAAAAAGGUUCGUGCUUUAAAAAAUUCUUCACGCUUCCGAAUUAGUUCACGUUUUUUUUAAUUCUUCUCGGUUUCAAAAUUUGUUCUCAAAAUUCAAAAUAAAUCGUGCUUAAACAAUUUGUUCGUGCGUUCAAAAUUUUCAGGGGAUUUUCAAAAUUGUUCUCCUUUUCAAAAGUUUGUUCUAAAAAAUUAAAAAAAUGUCCGUGCUUUAAAAAAUUGUUCAAUCUUCCAAAUUUGUUCACCAGUUUUCACAAUUGUUACUCAAAUUUGAAUUUUUUUUCUUCAAAUAAAAAAAUAAAAGUAAAAAGGAAAGAAAAACGAACCAAAAAAAUAAAAUAAACAGAGAAGGAAAAAAGUAACAGAAAUAAAAGAAAUACAAUUGGGCCAGCCUAGUCAAGGUGCCUCCUUUUGCGGCGCAUGGCUACGUGCCGCAUUGAGCGGCAGGUAUGAGCUCCACAUCACGUGGGCAGGAUAAUUUAUUUAUGUUUGAGACAAAUAUGGGCAGGAUAGUUGAUAUCUGUUGUCUCGCACACACAAAACAAAGUCCAAGCCCAGCCCACCCACAAUAGACAAGAAGGUUUAUUUAAUGCAGCUAUCCCAACCGGCUAGCCCAACCAUGCUCACCUCGACAGUGCCUUAGAGCAUCUCCAACCACACCCCCAAGAGACCCUUUCCGGCCAUUUUUUCAGCCGGCAGGGAAAAAUGGUCCAGCCGUGCCUCCAAGAGGCCGUUUUUCGCUGAUUUGGGUCGAAAUUGGCCUGGCGGUCUCAGCCCGAACCCAGCGCGUUGGGGGCGUUCGGGGGCGUCGGCGGAAGGAAAAACGACGCGUCAGGCCCCAUGUCAGGCGAAAAAGGGCAUUUUCUUCUCCAGAACCGCCCCUCGCACAACACACCUUCCGGCGCCGUGCUGAUUCCCGCGCCACCCCAUCUGCCUACCGGUGCUACAAAGGCUAUCUCCCCAUCGGCUUCGCCGUGGAUUUGCCCCCCCCUUCUUGAGCAGGAAGCUCUUCCUUAGGAUUGUGAAUUCCUUCAGGGAGUUCGACAGCUAGUUCAAGUGCAAAAAGGAUUGCACCGGUACACUUGGAUUCACCUCGCUCAAGAAGUGCACGACAGCUAUGAGGAUGCUUGCGUACGAAGCUCCCGGUGAUAUUCUGGAAGACUAUGGACGCAUGGCCGAGUCCACCACCAUUGUGUGCUUGUACAAGUUCUGCGGGACAGUGGUGGCAGUUUUUAGACCUCAAUAUUUGCGAUCACCCAAUGCUGAAGACAUUGCUCGGAUUCUAGCACAAAACGCGGAAAACAGGAUUUCCUGGGAUGUUUGAAAGUAUCGACUGCAUGCAUUGGAAAUGGAAAAACUGUCCAUUUGCUUGGCAAGGGAUGUACAAAGGUGCCAAAGGAGGUUGCCGUGUCGUACUUGAGGCAGUGGCACACAUGACCUCUAGAUUUGGCAUUUCUUGUUUGAUAUGCGAGGAACUCACAAUAACAUCAACGUACCGCAGUGCUCUAAUUUCUUUGCCAAGCUUGUUGAGGGUCAUGCUCCUCCGAUUAACUACAAGGUCAAUGGACACCACUACAACAAGGGAUACUACCUAGCAGAUGGCAUCUAUCCGAGAUGGUCCAUAUUUAUGAAGACUAUCUCAAAUCCUGCACCAAGAGGCAAGCACUCCUAUUUUGCCAAGUGUCAAGAAGCUUGCCGCAAGGAUGUCGAGCGGAAAAUUGGUGUGCUUCAAUCUUGUUUUGCUGUUGUCCGGUACCCUACUCAGACGUGGUCGAACGAUCAAAUGUGGGAAAUCAUGACUUGUUGUGUUGUCUUCCACAACAUGAUCAUUGCAAGCAAGCGAAAGGAGCCAGUGUUUGACACUGAACCAUAUUACAGGCAAUGUCCUCUUGCCAAGUUGAUCACCAGCUACCGGUAACCUGGACUGCCUUUCUCAACAUGCGUCAAGAGAUCCGAAACCCACAGGUACAUCAACAACUGCAGCACGAUUUUGUAGAGCACCUAUGGAGGCUCAAUGGCAACGCCUAGCUCGAUUGUUGAUUUGUAUUGACUUGUUAAACUAUUUUUCAAUUGUAUUGAUUUCUGUGAUGAACUAUGUGAUAAAAAAAAUAACUAUUGUUGUUCAAUUUAUGCUGAAAAAGCCGAAUAUGGGCCAAAUUUGCGUCGAAACUGGGCCGAAAGCGGCGGCUGGGGACGCCCUUGGGUGGGCAGUUGGGAAGCCGAGCCCCCCCCCCCCCCCNNNNNNNNNNNNNNNNNNNNNNNNNNNNNNNNNNNNNNNNNNNNNNNNNNNNNNNNNNNNNNNNNNNNNNNNNNNNNNNNNNNNNNNNNNNNNNNNNNNNNNNNNNNNNNNNNNNNNNNNNNNNNNNNNNNNNNNNNNNNNNNNNNNNNNNNNNNNNNNNNNNNNNNNNNNNNNNNNNNNNNNNNNNNNNNNNNNNNNNNNNNNNNNNNNNNNNNNNNNNNNNNNNNNNNNNNNNNNNNCCCCCCCCCCCCCCAAUGCCGUUUUUAGCGCCGGUGGAUCCCCUGGCGGCGCUAUUUCGGGCUACUUGGGCCCGAACAGCCGAAGAUGCUCUUACACAUGCAUAUGCCUCAGCUGUUUCAUUUGUGAUCUGUUCGGUCCAAAACCAAAUACAGAACCGAUCAAUGGAGGAACCGAACGCACGGUCUUGUUAAUUCCUAUAGAUCGACCGGUGCAUGUUUCUUGGGAACCAAAAAAAUCUAAAACACCGAAGUACCGAACUGAACGGUUCGAUGAAACCGAACGCCUAUCCUGAGCCGACCAGAUUUCCGGCUGCAACGCCGCUGCAGGAAGAAGAAAAUGGGCAUAAAUAGAUGAGGGGCUUACUGGUGGACCCAUCUUCCACCUCAUCAUAUUUUCCAUGUAGGCAUACCAAAAUAAGCUUUACAUGUGGGCCUCACCCAUCAGUUCAACUGUUAUCAUGGAGUUGAUGAUUUAAGUAGUUUUUUAGGUAAUCCGUUACACUAAGGCCUUGUUUGGUACUAGUGUUUGGGAGAAGAUUGAUGGGAUAAUCCUUCUAGGGAUUAGGUGAAACCCCAACCUUCACCCAAUCCUUUCAAAUCCUCAUUUAUCCUCAAUACACUAGGUAGGGAUAGUGUAUUGGGUAUUGAGAAAAAUGCACUAUAAUUUGGGGAUUUGAGGGAAAAUGUGGGGAUGAAAUAUGUCAAAUAUACUAGAAUCAAAUGGUGUUAUGAAAUAUGUGAAAAUUGAGGGGUUUGACCGGAAUAAUCCCCAUAAAUUCUUUAAAAUACACUAGUACCAAACAAAGCCUAAAUGUGGUGGUUUUUAGCAAUUUACUCGAAACAAACGAAAUAGUAUGUGCAACUGGCAGUGAGCCUGAAUCUAAUCCAAAGCACGAGAAACAUUUCCCUUGUCACCAACAUGGCGUCCACCUCCGCCCCCUGCCAUGUCCUUCACGCCCUUCCGGCACGCCUCCAUUGCAGGCAUUCCGAGCAUGGCGUGUCCUUCGACCCCAGCUCCACCUUCUACCGCAGCGACAACACCCCGGGCUGCGACCUCGCUGUCCUCUUAGCCACCCUCCACCACCGGCACCGUCCCGACCCCUCGGCCCCUUUCCUAUGCCUCGUCAUGUUGUGUCGCUCCGGCGUCUGCGUGAUCUGUUACCUCGCGCAUGGCCGCAGGCUGCCUUCGAUUUCGCCUGGGCCAAUAUCGCCUCUGACGCGCUUCACCCGUUCAUCGUUGGCAUCCUCUCUCGUUUGGAGCCCGUGCUUCCCGGCGUACAAAUGUGGUGGGUUGUCUUGCACCUCGAUGCCACUCGGCUGCUCGUCGAGAGGUACCUUCGCAGCGAAUACUUCGAUGUCAUCGACGUUGACUCGUUCGGCAGCGAAGCCGAGUACAUCCGGGCGGCUUUCUUAUUGGCGCUCAAGAUUGGGGGCCUUCUCUAUCUGACUUCCACGGAUUGGUGGUCGGCCAGAGGUUAUGCAGAAAAUGGUGAGCUCUUGAUCCGCUUAUUCAUCGCACGCUUCGUAGGUUCGUGAUACAUUUGCCUUCAAUUGUUAAAAUUUUGCUACCCAAUUACUCAAAUGCAGUAGAAAACUAGGAUGUUAGUUGAAUGUUUUGUAAUAAGAUUAUCCAAUGACGAAUAUAUUUCAAACAGAUUGCUUAGGCAUUUUAUAAAUUCCAGUUGUCUAUAUCACUGUUUUGCCCGACUGAAAAAUAUCCAGUCAUGGAUAAACGGAUGGUUCUGUAUAUUGGGCCAAUUUUCCUUUCUGUAUAGCAUAUCGAGUGCCGCUUGCCAAUCCACACUUGCACCACCGAAGACAAUGUCACCACCUUUCGCGCAUGGCUCAUCGACGAUGAAGACCAAGCCGACUUCCGUGCCAAUGAGCUGAUUUCUGUGCUCCAUGCCAUGACAUGCGUUUAUAGUGGCUCUGGCGAGAAUGAAAACAUCUAUGCUAUACCAUGGGAGGAGGGACGCGUACAACACCCCUCGGGUCCGACCUAAUCCUACGGUGGCAAUGGAGACACCGGCGUGUAUGGUCUUGCUGUCGUACUCGGUGCCCAACAACUUUUGGGAUUCAGGGAGGGGGGGCUUCACCGCCUUGUUGUCGACGCCGGCGCGCAAAAGGAUUGGUGUGGGCCGGUCUGUCAUCAACGGACGUCAUGGGGAUGCUAUUCGGUGUGGCGGAAUGAGGACGCACCAUCGUAAGGGAUCUUCGCUCGGGUGACUAUCGACGGGAAGGCUUUUGGCGCCCACAAAAGUGCCAUAUGAUAUUGGUUGGUUCACAAGGGUGUGGAAUGGCAGCAGCCAGUUAUGCGGCUUGUCAUGAGUUGGCUCCCUAUGGCUGUCGCAGUGGCUUAAUGUGCAAUGGCGUCCCACAAAUUUGCUAGCUCCACUCUAGUUUAAUUAGCAUGGAGUACUGUCUAGCGCGACUAGCGGAAGAUCCGUUUUCAAGAUGGUGAUUGCAGCAGUGUUUCUCGUCCCAGGAUCUAUCUCUUGUCCUUACCUUCACUGCUUACGCUUAACAGGAAUAAACUUGUAUAAUUACUUUGUUGAAGCCAUUGUCCACUUGCUAUUGUACUGGCCUUUAUUGGUUGACCUUGAUAACCAGCAUAAAAAUCCUUGUUCUUGCCGUUUCUGGAUAGAGAUGGCAAAGGAGGUGUGGGGACCAAUAUCUCUUCUUGGAGACCUUGUCGUGUAAGAAGUCGACUUAGUCGUAAGGCUAAUUUCUUAUCUUAUAGCGUGUCGACCUUGAUUGUCUAAGGAUUUUACUCAGCUCAUUGAUGAUCAGAUAUCGAUGUCAUGCAUCAAAUUGAAUAAAGAUGGUUGUGUAUUUAUUUAUUUUUGAAAAGGAGGAUGACCCCGGCCUCUGCAUCUGGAAGAUGCAUGCAGCCACAUAAAGAUAGUUGUGUGCAUCGCAAUGAAGUAGAGGCAACCUCCUUUUUCAAAAAAUAAUCACUUCUACCAUUUGCAUGUACAGACUUCUCUACUACUCUACGUAGGCAUUUUCGCUCACACGACAGGGACACCAUAGCACCCGGAAAAAUACGGCUGGAGGUAGGACUCAGGAGAGAUCGAGCAAUUAGAGACCAGGGGUGUUAUCCUCCUUUUCGAUAAAAGAGAGAUUUAGCUAUAACAAUUUAGCAAAGUCGAAUUCAUUAAUUCGGUGAACUUCGAUGCAUGCAGUGCGUCGAAAACCGGACAGAUCUGGAAAGGCAUCCCUAGUUUGCCACUAUUUGUGAGAAAGUCGCUCCAGUAGCUGCAGUACAUCCAGUGAAUAUGGGAGAAAUGCGAGUUCACAGUGAUCGUCUACUAGCAAAUGGACUGAGAUAACGGUGGAGCUGAUUGGAAAGUUUAUUAUUGCAGCCUCUUCUGCAAAUUCACUAAAACUACAAUCUCGCCAACAUGUAAUUUUCGAGUCGGUGUAGGUCACCACUCUGCUUAAUGUGGUGUCAUCUCCUAAAUGGGCGAACAAGGUACAAGUUGGCGAGAUGAAGUCCCUUGGCCAAUUUGACAAGAGAGAUAACAAAGCGGAUGGGAUCCAAACUGCUUUGAUGAAUGGCUAUAAAACUAAACUACCAUUCGUUUUCUCUUACAAAAAUGAAAAGUAACCUGUUUUCUCAUUGGAACAGAUUGGCUCAUAUCUAGACAAACCUAAGACAAGAAUUUUGGGACGGGGGGAGUAUAUCAUAUUGUUUGUAUUACAUUUCAUUUCUAUGCCCAAGGUUCUGGAUGCUCAAGGACUGCGGGCAGGAAUGAUCGUUUGCACACCCGCCGAAUCAUAUUAAUUGUCGGUGAUUUAGUACAAUUACUAAAUCAGCGAGAAUUAAAAUAGAGCGGAUAGAGUACUACCUUCAUACAUGCAUCCCACCUUUAAAUUUUACAUUGGAUGGUCAUGCAAUUUUAUCUGUCAUUCCGCCCUCGUGUCCGUGCUUUUUAGCAUGCGAGUGCUCAUAGAGAAAAAACAUAGCAUUUAUUUUGGAUGUCGAUUUGUAUACUUGAUUAAUGUCGUCAACAAAAACUGAUGUGCAAGACUUGAUCCCAAUUUGUGAAGCUUUCUAGCAAAGUUAGCGUGACAAAUAAGAAGCUGGUAUUUUUUUGAAAAGAAACAAAAAGAUUGUUUCCCUAGUGACUCUCUGUCUAGUUGGCCGGGACUCUCCCACAGAUCUGUCAAAAAUAUACCAGAACGUCGAUUAGCCUGUGGUUGCAGCAAAAAAAGCUACGAGCUAGGAAUGCCUAUCCCAUUUUAUGAAAGGCAAUCUCGCGCCUUAAGUGCCGUGUGUAUACAAGCUGCCCCUCUCAUGCCUCAUGAACAGGCGUGACCUAGGGCAGCGCCGCAAAACAGGCCUUCCCCCUGAUCACCAAACAGCGUUAUCGAGACUUACUGUCGAAGAUGGUCAUGAAGGAUCGUGAUGUGGUAUGCCGAUGGAGAUAGUCACGCUGAUAAUCCAUCGGUACCGUCGCUGCAAUUGCGUAGGUUCGUUGGCUAUGACGUCAAACAAUUGUAUACCCACUGUUGUGCACCCUCAGCUUCAAAUCAUCUAGUCAUCCUUCCACUCAGACACAGGACCAAGCUCACCAAGUGGAGCUCCAUCACAAGGAUUACAGCAGAGGAAGCAACAAAGAUGUCAGCCACUCGAAGGGAUGUGUUUCCGGAUACCUCCCACUCCCAACAUAUUUGCACCAAUCUCCUAAUUUGUCCAAGUCUUACAAUCAUUUUGUGCCUGUUUGGGUGUUGCUACCCAGAUAAGAUCACCAAGAGAGAGGAAAGACUAACAACAGGUAACAAAGGAACAACAUGGAAACAAAGGGGCUGUCUCAUUUUAAAGGCCGGUGAUGUCCUUACACAUGCUAAGGUUGGUUGGUGCAUUUGGUCAUCUCCAAAGAGACCAUCAAAGCUUUAGUAUGUGUCAAUAUUAUAGUGCCUGGACCAUUUGCGUCAACAAUUUUCAUCGGACGGGAACCCAUCAGUCUUUGAAGUGCUCCGGAUGACUAUUUUCCGGCAAAUCCGAGACAGCCAUGGGGAGCUAUACCCGUGUCCCAACAUGCACUUGAUCAACAAAAAACCACCAUGUGGUCUUCUUCUCUUUUCUCUCUCCGCACAUGCAUGAUCCUAUCUCCUCUCUCUCUUUCCUUCCAACCAGACAAAUAAAGAUUGACUAAUUUCUGAAAAGCAUUGGAUGGCACUCUCCCGACUUCAUAUCCGCGGACAUUUUUUGUGUACAUUUCCGGGUCAGCUUUGGAGAUGCCAUUAGCUUGAAAUGAAGUAUAUUUAGCAUCUUCAACACUGACCUGAAAAUUUGCACCUAUUCGUCUGCAGACAUGGGGGACUAGUCCGUGGACAUUGAUGUCAGA
rnacentral:lncRNA from 1 species